rnacentral:lncRNA from 10 species
CAACUACAUUCACUAAUUAUCAAAAUUUUCCCCCAAUUCCUCCCCACUCUAUGCAUGCUUAUGCUCUCAGAAACCCACAUUUUCCUGGAGAACAAUUUGAGACUAAGUUGCAAAUAUUGAUUCUUCAUCUCUACACACUUGGCAUGUAACUCCUAAAAUUAUGGGAUUCUCCUGCAUAACUAAAUACAAUGAUCAUACUCACAAACUUUAACAUUGAUACAAUAUAACGUUGUGUAAUAUACAUUAACAUUGUGUAAUAUACAUCCUAUAUUCAAAUUUCCCCUGCAGUAACCUUCUAUUAGGUUGGUGCAAAAGUAACUGCGGUUUUCGCCAUUACUUUCAAUUGAAUUUCAAUAACUUUUGCACCAGCCCAAUAUGAGCUGUAUUCUUUCUCUUUCCCUCCUUUCCUUUCUACUUUAAAAAAAAAUCCAGACUCUAAUUCAGAAUCAUACACUUCAUCUAAUUAUGUCUCUAAGUCUUCAGUAACAAGAAUACGAAUCUAGGGUUUCGUUUGGUUUUCUUUCUCCUAGUGACAUUGACUUUUUGAAGAACUCAGGCUAGCUGUUUGGCAGAAUGUCGCCCAGCUUGGAUUUGUCUGAUGGUGUCCUUAUCAUUAGAUUCAGGUUAAAUGUUUUGGCAGGAGGACCACAUGGGGGAGGUGUCCCUUCUCAGUGCAUCACAUCAGAGGAUCAGUUGGUUCCCUACUGAUGAGAAGUUUGGACCAUGGGUAAGGUGGUGACCUCGUUUCCCCUUGGUAAUUCCUAAGUCAUCUGUGGGGUAGCACUGUAUUUACUGAAGGUCUCUGACUGUGGCAAAUGCUGGGAGAGUCAGUGGUGAGCGCCCACACUCUGUCCUUGCUCUUGUGCUGUUUUUACAAAGGAGGGGACAGACAAUAACCCAGGAAACAAAUAAUGACAAGAUAUGCAGUUUGAUGAAGGACGUGGAUAGGGUGCUGAGAUAGAGAAGUAUCAACUCUAGAGAAAGUGAUCUUUAAGCUGAGACUUGAGCUGGAGGCAUGCCUGUAGUCCCAACUCCUCAGGAGGCUGGGGUGGGAAGAUCGUUUGAGCCCAGGAGUUCUGGGCUGUAGUGUGCAAUGCCAAUCAGGUGUCCACACUAAGUUUGGCAUCAACUAUGAUGACCUCCUGGGGCUGGAGGACCACCAGGUUGCCAGGUGGCAAACAGCAGGUCAAAACUCCUGUUCGGAUCAGUAGUGGGAUCAUGCCUGUGAAUAGCCACUGCACUCCAGCCUGGGCAAUAUAGAGACACCCUAUUUCUAAAAAAAUACUACUAAUAAAGAAAAAGGUGAAAUUUGAAUAGGAAAAAGGAGACACCCUUGGGAAGGUGGGGUGGAGGGGUUGGGGGUGGCUCCUAGUUAAGCUUGGAGGAUAGAAGGAACCAAAAGACGGAUGCACGGUGGUCUCAGGGAGGGAGGAAUGAGCAGAGAAAGGCCCUAGGCCUGGAAAUAAUCAUAUUGAACACAUGCUAUCCUAAUAGUGAACACCAUCCUAAGUGUUUCACAUGGUUUACCUUGUUUAAUUCUCCUUGCAGCCCUGUGAAGUGAGCGUUAUUACUGGUUUUAUGCUGUAGAAUCUGUGACACAGAGAGGUUGAGUAAUUGCCCUAAGGUCACACAGCUUCUAAGUAGCAGUGCUGGAUAGAUCUGACUCCACAGACUGUGCUCUUAGCUGUGUCAAGCAGGAAGGCCCAGGGUUUCAUCCAGAAAACAGAAUGUGAAAAGGGACUGGAAUGAAAGCAACCUGUACUGGGUGCAGAGGUGCUGUCGAUAAAGGAUGAGGGAUGGGAAAGGAAGACAGAAGAAAGGCCUAGAAGAUCAAAGGAGAAGGGUGUUCAAGGCUGCAGGCAGCACUGGAAGCCAGGCCAGCUCAGUUGACCACCUACUCUGGGCACAUCCCCAACCCAGCCUGUCCCUUCAGGUCGGAUUUGCAAUUCUCCUGCUCUCCCUCCUCCUAAACACAAACAGGAGAUUUACACUCUCAAAGUCUCUCCCCACAAAUGACUUAUUAAUCACAAAGGGAAAAAUUGUAACUUUGCAGUGGCACAACCUGGUCAAUGCCAGCUUAACCAAGUGACCAAAGUGGAUAUUCAGGGAAGGCUCUGGAAGGGCAUUUGGGGGAAGUGUAGAAAGGUUUUGUGAGGAGCACUCUGAAUGACGGGGGUAGGAAGCCUUGGGGACUGAGGAGUCUACCCUAACAGGGCAGGGUCCAGAGGGGGAAGGAGGGGUAUGUCUCGGGGGAAGGGAGAAGUAUUGAGGUGGGGGAGGUUCUGAGGUUUGAGUGAGGCCCUGGGGAGGGACUUGACAGUUUG